UCAGACGAUGCGUCAUGCAUAUCAAUAAGCGGAGGAAAAGAAACUAACAAGGAUUCCCCUUAGUAACGGCGAGUGAAGCGGGAAGAGCUCAAAUUUGAAAUCUUCAAGGUUUGACCUUGACGAAUUGUAGUUUAAAGAAGUGUUUUCGGUUAGAGGAGUUUGGUAAAAGUUCUUUGGAAUAGGACAUCAUAGAGGGUGAGAAUCCCGUAUUUGACCAUUAUUUUCUAGCUUUGUGAAUACACUUUCAAAGAGUCGGAUUGUUUGGGAAUGCAGUCCAAAAUGGGUGGUAAAUUUCAUCUAAAGCUAAAUAUUGGCGAGAGACCGAUAGCGAACAAGUACCGAUGAGGGAAAGAUGAAAAGAACUUUGAAAAGAGAGUUAAACAGUACGUGAAAUUGUCAAAAGGGAAGCGUUUGACACCAGUGUUGUUUUCUCGAAAAUCAAUUAAAAAGAGUUGGAUUUUGUGUUGUAUUGACCUUAACAGCUUGCUUCACUCUUUUCCUGCUUUUUUUAAUGCACUUUUCCGUUUAACAAGUCAACAUCAGUUUCUUUUGUCGUAAAAGGGUCAUUGGAAGGUGGCUUUCUCUUCGGAGAAAGUGUUUAUAGCCUUUGAUCUCUGCAAUCGGAGAGACUGAGGUCUGCAGCGUAGAUCCUUCGGGGUUAGAUACAUUUGUGCUAGAGCUACAGCUUUUCAUAGACAACUUGUUGACUAUGUUUAGUCUUGUAACUUACCCGCUUAUGCUAUUUUACCUACGCUUAGGAUGUUGAUAUGCAUGACUGAUAU
rnacentral:rRNA from 1 species